UUUCUUGGAACAAACAUAACUAAUCAAAACACGCAGUCGCAACACGUGGAAUAAGGUCGAUAAACAAAAAGUUAGAAAGCUGUGGGAACACCGAACCCGUUGCUUUGCCGCCGAAUAGAGUUGGAGAAAGGCUUACUUCUCUAGGGAAUAUCUCAUGUGGUGAAAGAAGCAGCCCCUUAGGAUGGUAACCCGGGGGUAUUUCGCCCCAAGGGGUUGCUCAGGGCGGGUGGAGAUAUCGGGGUCGCGGCAGCACAAGUUACUCUCGUAGGCCUGUCCUAAUUAGGGUUUAGUAAAUCAUUUCUUGGUAGUUACACACUUACCAUAUUGUGGUUUUUAGGGUUCCGUACGACAUAGGAAAAAAAAGGAACCCUUAUAGGAUCACUUUGUUGUCAGUACGUCUGUCUGUAAAGACCCUUUUUCCCAAAGACACGUGAAGGGAUCAAGCUGGAAUUUUUUUACUACUGAAACAGUUGUCCAAAACAGUGUAAAUCAACGGCGAAAGAUACAUAUUUUAUUUCAAGGGUACUUUGCUGUCUACAACUGCAAGAAAAAUGAUUUGAAAUGCAGUUAGUACUUCGAAAACAGGUGAUUUGGGGUCGCAGGUUACUUUAAAAUUUAAAAGUAAUCAAUUUCAUAAAUUCCUUUGAUAUCAAGUUUGUAUGUAAUAUUGUUACAUAUCUCUAUUUUUUUAAUGAGACUGAAGUCAGUGGUAACUAUCGACCUCAGAAAAUACUGAAUAAUUUUGUUUCGUAUCACAAAAAAAUAUCAGAUCAUAUUUGUAACCUUUUUAGACUGACUAUUCAUUUACUAAAUGUAUUCAAUUACAUAAACACAGGGUUUUUAAUCAUCACAAUUUUAUGUAUAGAUAAAUGAAAUACCAAUUAAGAAUUCUACAUCCAUUAUAAUUCAACGGCAUCAAGAUAUCCUUAAUAAUUAAACACUUCACGAUUGUGUUAUUCGAGUUUUGUUUUAUACAAAAAAAAGGAACUUGGCGAUAGAAGACAUACAAUUAAUUAAGCAUCUCAGUAAACCAGUCUCAAUGUAUGAAAAUCAAAAGUUGAAACAUUAAAUGAUUUUCUUACAAUUUUCUGAGGAUUCGAUUGAAUAUAUAAAAAAAAAUCAGUCUAAACAUAGGACUUGUGUUUCGUUCGACGCAGCCAACAUACAAAUAAACUUAAAAACUAAACGUAUAAAGGAACAUAAAUUUAGAACUUACACAACAGUGGGUAUUGUACCAAUAAGUCAUUUUCAUGACGAAACAUCUGUACAUGAAUAUAUUGCGAUUAGCAAUCAUUCUCUUUGGGAAAUUGGGAUAGCUAUAUAUUUUUGUACAGGCGCUUCGUUAUUUCAAAUUCACGGAAAAUAAAUACAAAAAAAUUGAAAAAUAAUUAUAAAAUAAAAUGUAUCCAAAAAAAAUAAAUCAGACUUAUUUCUCUUGUUCCGUACCGAAUAUAACCUUGAAGCUUGUAAUAUGUAAUAACUAUUUAUAUGUAUGUCAAUCGGAAAAACACAAAGUGUUCAAAUCAAGAAAUUCUUGUAUAUAACCUAUAAAUUUGAAAUGUUCUUAAACAAAAUAUAGGUUUCAAAGACUAUUGUUUUGUUUCGAUACAGACAGAAUGAAUAUAAUUUAAAAAAUAACAUUUUACUCCCUAAGCAAUGAGAUUCUACUUAUUUUAACCUGAUCUUUACUACCGUAAGCCCGUACAGAAACAUACCUCAGUUUUUUACGAAGAAUAAGAAACAAUGUACGAGAGAUACGGGUUAUGGAAACCGUUGCAGUGUCAUAUCAGAUCACAACUAUACCAAUCAAAAUAAUCCAACCACCUCAACCUUUAGUAGGGAUGCACGAUAUUUUUUUUUUAGUCGAUUCCAUAAACCAAUACGAUUUCUCAACACGUAUUUAAGCCGAAAUUAAUAAACGAGCCUAUUAAAUUAAUAUUUCCAGAUAAAAGCUAAUUAAUUAGCAUUUGUUGUUAAUUGCAUUUUGGCACUAAAAUAUCAUUCUUCUCUAUUUAUAUUUUAAUGUUUAGUUUUACAAAAUCAUACAAAAAUCGAUUUUAUUACUAUCGAAUUGUAGGAUACGAGACGACAAAUAUCGUGCAUUCCUACUGAGAUUUAAGCAACAAAAAAAAACACAGCCAUGUACAGUAAACUGCAGUCUUCAAACAAUAUCACACUUCGAAGCCCUGAGAAACGUCGAACGAAACCCCAAGCCUUUUGGCAGUUGAAAAACAUUUAAGGAAAUCCAGUAAAUAUAUAAA